rnacentral:rRNA from 1 species
UACAGAGGGGGCAAGCGUUAUUCGGAAUUAUUGGGCGUAAAGGGCGCGUAGGCGGCCUGGCAAGUGGAAGGUGAAAUCCCUCGGCUUAACCGAGGAACUGCCCUCCAAACUGCUUGGCUUGAGUCCGGGAGAGGUGAGUGGAAUUCCCCAGUGUAGCGGUGAAAUGCGUAGAUAUCUGGAGGAACACCGGUGGUGUAAACGGCUUUCUGGACCAUUACUGACGCUGAUGCACGAAAGCGUGGGUAGCAAACAGG